rnacentral:misc_RNA from 1 species
GAUGAAGAACGUAGCGAAAUGCGAUAAGUAAUGUGAAUUGCAGAAUUCAGUGAAUCAUCGAAUCUUUGAACGCACAUUGCGCCCGCUAGUAUUCUGGCGGGCAUGCCUGUUCGAGCGUCAUUUCAACCAUCAAGCCCCAGGCUUGUGUUGGGGUCCUGCGGCUGCCCGCAGGCCCUGAAAACCAGUGGCGGGCUCGCUGUCACACCGAGCGUAGUAGCAAUCACCUCGCUCAGGGCGUGCUGCGGGUUCCGGCCGUUAAACAGCCUUACAAAACCCAAGGUUGACCUCGGAUCAGGUAGGAAGACCCGCUGAACUUAAGCAUAUCAAUAAGCGGAGGA